rnacentral:rRNA from 1 species
UACGUAGGGUCCGAGCGUUGUCCGGAAUUAUUGGGCGUAAAGGGCUCGUAGGCGGUCCGUCACGUCGGGAGUGAAAACUCGGAGCUCAACUCCGAGCCUGCUUCCGAUACGGGCAGACUAGAGGUAGGCAGGGGAGAGCGGAACUCCUGGUGUAGCGGUGGAAUGCGCAGAUAUCAGGAAGAACACCGGUGGCGAAGGCGGCUCUCUGGGCCUUACCUGACGCUGAGGAGCGAAAGCGUGGGGAGCGAACAGG